UAGGGAAUCUUCCGCAAUGGACGAAAGUCUGACGGAGCAACGCCGCGUGAGUGAAGAAGGUUUUCGGAUCGUAAAACUCUGUUGUUAGGGAAGAACAAGUACCGUUCGAAUAGGGCGGUACCUUGACGGUACCUAACCAGAAAGCCACGGCUAACUACGUG
rnacentral:rRNA from 1 species